UACGUAGGGUGCAAGCGUUGUCCGGAAUUAUUGGGCGUAAAGAGCUCGUAGGCGGUUCGUCGCGUCGGCUGUGAAAACCCGGAGCUCAACUCCGGGCCUGCAGUCGAUACGGGCGGACUCGAGUUCGGCAGGGGAGACUGGAAUUCCUGGUGUAGCGGUGAAAUGCGCAGAUAUCAGGAGGAACAUCGGUGGCGAAGGCGGGUCUCUGGGCCGAUACUGACGCUGAGGAGCGAAAGCGUGGGGAGCGAACAGG
rnacentral:rRNA from 1 species